rnacentral:rRNA from 1 species
GUGCCAGCAGCCGCGGUAAUACGGAGGAUCCAAGCGUUAUCCGGAAUCAUUGGGUUUAAAGGGUCCGUAGGUGGAUAAUUAAGUCAGAGGUGAAAUCUUGCAGCUCAACUGUAAAAUUGCCUUUGAUACUGGUUAUCUUGAGUUAUUAUGAAGUAGUUAGAAUAUGUAGUGUAGCGGUGAAAUGCAUAGAUAUUACAUAGAAUACCAAUUGCGAAGGCAGAUUACUAAUAAUCAACUGACACUGAUGGACGAAAGCGUGGGUAGCGAACAGGAUUAGAUACCCUGGUAGUCCACGCCGUAAACGAUGGUUACUAGCUGUUUGGACCUUGUGUCUGAGUGGCUAAGCGAAAGUGAUAAGUAACCCACCUGGGGAGUACGUUCGCAAGAAUGAAACUCAAAGGAAUUGACGGGGGCCCGCACAAGCGGUGGAGCAUGUGGUUUAAUUCGAUGAUACGCGAGGAACCUUACCAGGGCUUAAAUGUAAGUUGCAUUAGUUAGAGAUAGCUAUUUCUUCGGACCACUUACAAGGUGCUGCAUGGUUGUCGUCAGCUCGUGCCGUGAGGUGUCAGGUUAAGUCCUAUAACGAGCGCAACCCCUGUUGUUAGUUGCCAGCGAGUCAUGUCGGGAACUCUAACAAGACUGCCGGUGCAAACCGUGAGGAAGGUGGGGAUGACGUCAAAUCAUCACGCCCUUACGUCCUGGGCUACACACGUGCUACAAUGUUCGGUAC